rfam:Schistosoma mansoni strain Puerto Rico chromosome 1, complete genome
AUCUGACUGACGAGUCCCAAAUGGGACAAAACGCGUGUCCUUAUUCAAUAU